AAAUCUCCCUCUGCAUAGACUUGAUGUGACCUUUAACUGAAUUAAUAUAUGGAAAGCAUUUGGAACAGCUUGACAAGGAACCCCUGCAAUUUCAAACUCCCUACUGCCUCAUUGGACCAAAACAUUAUUAUACGAAUUACCAUUCCUAGAGCAUUGCCUGAAGGAUAUGCCUGAAUACCCUCUGAUCAGAGCUGGCGGACAGAGUCAGGCUGGCAGGUGACAAGAUCCCUCCGGGGGUGCCCCGUUGAGAAGGGCUGUGAGGCUCAUUCCCUCCGGAAGAGAGUUUAGUGACCACUGCUGACCUCUGCCCCGGCCUUGGACUGGAAGCAAUGGUGUGCCUGUCGGGAAGGAAGCUUGGGGUCGGAUUUCACAGCUACAGUAUUAUCUUCAUGGCUUGCAAGAUGGAUGUUUCUAAAUCACACACACACACACAC